UUAAAGAAGAUGAGGUAUUCGUCUUGCUACCAACAAGCGCCAACAAGCUACAAGCACAGUGGCAGGGGCCCUACAAGGUAAGGAGACAGGUCGGCCCGGUGGACUACGAGAUUGACUUGACUAACAAGAGAAAGCGAUUGCGGAUAUAUUCCAUGUCAACAUGUUAACUCGUUGGCACACCCCUAUGGAUGUUAGCUACCUUGCAACAACAGUUAGAAGGGAUGAGAUAGAGGAUGAUGAUGGAGACAUUAUUCAGGCCAUCCAUGAUAAGUCGUCCGAAGCAAACUGGCAGUCCGUUACAAUAAAUGACAAGUUGACAGUCACCCAAGCUCAGCAAAUUGAUAAUCUCCUACAGAAAUUUAUGCAUGUUCUCCGUGACAAACCGGGAAGGACAAAUGUGACUAACACGUGAUAGCAACAGGAAACACAAAGCCGACCAUAUCAUCUCCCCCAGUCUCAAUACAAGAAGAUCAAGCAGGAGAUACAGAAGAUGGAGGACAUGGGCAUUAAGCAGUUCUUCAAUAGUGAAUGGGCAGCACCCUUGGUGAUCGUUCCCAAGAAGGACUGAUCAAUACGAGUAUGGGUAGACUACAGAGAGCUGAACAAGGUAUCUGCAUUUGACAAAUAUCCGAUGAAUAGAGUCGACAGACCUAGAGUUGACGAGUCGACGACAGAUUAGGCAAUACCAAGUACAUCUCGACUCUCGUUUUCGCCCUGGGUUACUGGCAAGUACCACUGAGCUCAGAUUCGAUGCACAAGACCACAUUCACGACCCUGUUCGGGUUAUUCGAGUUCCGUACAAUGCCUAUGCGACUACAAGGAGCCCCCCGAGACCAGCAAACAACAAGCAAGUACAAUCAUUCUUUGGAUUGACCAGUUAUUAUUUAUCGCGGGCUACGCAGACACCGCUGUGCCACUCUCAGAUUUAACCAAGAAGGGAAGCAGAGGUACGAUCAAUUGGACUGAAGACUGUGAACAAGCCUUCAAAAAACUCAAAGAGGCCUUGUGCUCGUCGCCAGUUCUAAGAAGCCCAGACUACAACAAAGAAUUUCUGCUGCAAACUGACGCAUCAGAUCUAGGCCUGGGAGCAGUUCUGAGUCAGAUUGGAGAUGACGGAGAGGAACAUACGAUUAUGUAUAUCAGCCGUAAGCUGCUUGAUAGGGAACGUCGCUAUGCCGUAGUGAAAAAAGAAUGCCUAGCGAUAGUAUAGGCCAUCCAGCAGCUUCGAGUAUACCUGCACGGUUGCAAGUUUUCUAUUCAGACAGAUCAUAAUGCAUUACAAUGGCUGGAUCAGAUGAAAAACAAGAAUGGAAGGCUUACAAGAUGGAGCUUGGCCUCACAGAUGUAUCAUUAAGUAAUAUAAUGGAGGGGUCUGGAUAACUCCAAAUGCGGACUCACUAUCGAGGAUUUGAUGUCAUAUGCUAUGCCGCUUUGUACAAAAAUGUACCAUUUUUGUCUGUGGAAGGAGGGGGAAGUGUGACGGAGUCAAUGUUAUAUUAAUUAGUGGAACUGUCCAGAACAUUGUUUACGUGCAGGCUCUCACGCUUGGAACAUUGUAGAAAUGAAUACGUGGUGUUAGAACAUGCUAGAAUUGGACUUUUUUCUUAGGAUCGUUGUUCUGUUUGCCAGAUUAUUCUAGAACCAUGACUCAGCAGUUUAUGAAAUGGAUGAUGUUAUGUUUCUAUUUAUUAGUAACAACAUUUAUGAUGUAAUUGGGUAUAUUUAGAAACACCCAAGUAGAGUAUAUAAAGGAGCUCACUUGUGAAUUAGCGGGGGGGACUCAACAAUGCCAUUCCAAGGUUGAUCAGAAAAACACCUCGUUAGAAAGUGGAAGGAGUAAUCAAUGAUCUCUUCCGCCAUUACCAGGAGGGUACCUCGAAAGAACGCAUCGAUCAAAAUGUGCCUUAUUGCUAUAUACAGAACCUGUUACGCAAUGUCGCUAUUCUUUCUGUGUUUGUGUAUUAAUAUCUCCUAUCAAGUGGUUACAUCAUUUUCUGCGCAGAAUGAAGACAGGCCAAGUAUUGCCGAGACUGUGAGAAUUGUCCAACAAUGGAAACCUGACUGCAAUCCCAAGUAUUUUAUGUUGGACUUCACGGCCGAAAUGGCAGCAAAUAUGCAAUUAACUUCUCGCUAGAACGGAACCAAAUAGCGUCAUAUUAAGCUUUUAUCGAGGUACAAAGUAAUAUGAGUUACAUUUCUCUUUCAGAGUGUUUUUUACUUUUGUGCGACUUCCACAAGGAAAAGGAGUGGGGGCGAGUGUACUAACAAAAUUAUUAUUCGUAUCACAGAUCAACCGGGCUACACAAUCCAUAGCAGACCAAGUCCUGGUUGCUGAUCCAAUUGCAGUAGGAAAUCUUGUAUAGGAAUUGGCAGCAAAUGCAGUAUCUAAUGCUGGAUCAAAUUCGGAGAACCAGGCAGCUACAGUAAACCUGCAAGAAAACUUUGUAUCUUUGAGUUAAGGCCUCUAGCAGUACUCCCUCAAACGGCAUCACCAAUGCAAACUGAACUCCACCAGAAAGAUGGCGAAAGUCACGAGGUACUCAGUAGACAGUAUUAACAAGAGUAUGGCUACAAUGGUAAAUACCUUGGCUUCUUCAAAAGUCCCCACUCGCAAACUGGCUAGGGCAGCAAUGCUUCAAGAAAAAGCCACAGCCGGAGUCGCCCACUCGGGAAUAAGCAGACCACGCCACACCGAGGAAUAUGAGGAAAUUGGAGAGUUAUUGAGGUCAUACCUCUAACGAGGGAAUAACGUCCAACAACUUGCCUGACCGAGAGAGAGGUAGAGUUUUUUUAUGUCCUAGAGGCCAAUAUAGAAGAUGAGGAACUGGUUUUCGAGACAGUCAACGACCAAAUAGACAAAAUCACAAAAAAAGCUGUGGGGAUCGAGCAUUACUGCCGACAGGCAUUACUGGCAAAACAUGUGAAACUGCACCGUGAAACUACCUCGAAAUCUUAGAGCAGCGUGUGAACCCGAAAAAAAAACAUUCGCCAUUUUACAAUGGUGGCAAACAUAAGCAAACGAGAAAAAUGGGUACCCAAAGGGUACACGAGUCUAGGUGCUAACGGCCACAGUUUCACUGGUGAUUAUUAUAGUAAAAUAAAACUGCUUUAAGGUACUGUUUUGCUAAAGGUGGUGUGCUUUGUAUUGAUGACGACUAUGGCAAGGAAAGCAGUGGAGACCUCAUUGGAGGCACUGGAGUCUUGCCUUCCAGUCAUGAUCUUCGCAGGAUACCUUCUCAAAAAGGUGACCUUUGCUUUGACAUUUUCGCCAAUAGGCAUUGAAAUUUAAUUGUUACAAAUAUAUUGUAUCUAUUUGUUUGGCCGUUGUGUUGUGGGUUUAGGCGGUGUUUCUUAGUGCUCUUUUCUUAGUUCUCAAACUCCGCCAAAAUGGCUACAAGUACUGAUACAAAGGAUUAAUGAUUUGUUGACUUUUUCUAAUAAAUAUGUGAAAUGUCUUUAGAAAGUGAGAUUGUGGUGCGAUAGCUCAGUCGUACAGGCUUCGCUUCUCAAGCAAGAGGACCAGGGUAUGAAUAAUGGUCGAAUAACACAGAAGAAAAAGAAAACUACACACCUGACAAUCAGAUCCUGGAAUGUCAGAACCCUGUUGGACAACCCCCACGCUGACAGACCAGAACACAGGACUGCCCUCAUCGCCCAAGAACUCGCCAGAUACAGCAUAGACAUGGAGGCUUUGAGUGAGACAUGAUUUGCAGACGAGGGUCAGCUCACAGAAACUGGCGCUGUCUACACCUUCUUCUGGAGUGGACGCAGUGAAGAGGAUAGACGUGAUCGAUUCUGUUCAAUCUUAAAUUACAUAAAUGACCUCCCAGAUUGCAUCAGCUUUAUGCAUAUCGCCAUGUUUGCUGACAACACAAAGUGUUUUAGAGCCAUAAACUCUCCAAACUACGUUCCAAAACUGCAGAGAGAUCUCCACUCGCUCUCAGCGUGGGCACUCGAUAACAAGCCCCUGUUCCGACCAACCAAAUGUUAGAACCUCCCCAUUACACGUAAAAGAAGCAACUUCCCAAGGAACUACACUCUUGACAGUGAGAUUCCCAAGAAGGUGCAGUCCGUUCGUAUCCUGGGUGUCCAAAUCCCUAAAGAUCUCUCCUGGUGCGUAACAUAAAAAAAGGCAGUGUGUCGAAAGCAAACAAGAUGCUUUGCAUUCUCUGUAGCCACUUUAUGUCUCUAUUGUACGGUCUCACCUGACUUAGGCGAGUCAAGUCUGGGCACACUGUUAGCUGGGCUCUCUGUAUUUAAAGCGCAUCUUGGAGCGCAUGCAGAGAAGGGCAACAAUUUAUAUGCUUUUACGGGCUGGAGCUCAGCUAUAAACAACAUGUCCUUAAACUCAGUCUUUUACGCUUGUCAUUCUUCCCCUAAUACCCUCUAUCAAGAGAGGAAUUCAUAUCGACAUCUCUAAUAUACUCCAGUUUUUGCAGUCUCCCACUUGUUGCAGAGUGACAGGCCUUGAUCUUUGUCUGAUUAGUUUGCAUACUUCCACCAUCCGUGAAUCUUACUUUGUAAGCAUCUGCCCAACCUGGAAUGCUCUCCCUCUCGAAAUAAGACCCUCUAAGAGAACUUCUCUCUUCAAGCAGAGACUGAAAGAUAAGUUUUCUUGCGCAUCAACUUCAACAACUCUUUUACGCAGACAAUAUCCGCACCUGGAGCAUUAUCUGCCCCAUAUGCAGCAUGUUUAUGCUAGCUUUUUACCAUUUAUCAAUUGUUUCUAUUUUUAUGUAUUUGUUUUGUAUGUACUGUCUGCUGAUCGCCGGAGACUAAAGCUUGUUAGGGACCCCUUUCCUAUUCUUUUAUCUCCGUUUCGGCCAUCAUCCCCAUAAAUGUCAUACAUAAAAUAAAAUAUAAUGAAUCACGGUUACCAUUUGUGUCACCAGUUGUGACAACUUUUACAUGUCAGUGACUUUUUUAAAGGAUCUUUUACUUGUUAAGACACCAGGGAGAGAAAAGUGAAUGAAAGGAACGGUUACUGGUAUUGAGGGUACCAUGAAUAAUGUAGUGCAUGUAGAUGGAAUGCAAUGGAGAAAGUAUAAGACACAUUUGAACUGUCCAGAUAGUACUUAUAUUUUUCAUGUUCAUUACUUGUGUUACAGAGGAGGAUGUUAAAUAUUGGAAUCCUUGUGUUGAGUAUGCGCACAGACACAUGACAGCGAAGUAGAAGCACAUGGUUUGACAAGUUGUUAUCUCUAUUCGUGCUUCAAUUAUGUACCCUUUUUCAUGUGCCAAUGACUUUGCCAUGUUUGACCAAAAAUGAAGUGCAGAGAACAGUCGGCGUCUACACUGUGAAGCAGCCAAUGGCCAUCAACAAUAAUGUCCCUGGGUGGACAGAUCUCACCAGUUGAUGACAAAGAACAAUGAUCUGUCAAUGUGCAGGAGAUGGUGGAAAGUGCUCUUCUUCCACAUGAUUGAUAUGAUAUAGCUGUUGUAAAUAGCUACAUUCUUUUCAAGCUUCACCGUGCCUAGAACCAACACAACACAGCACUUCAUUGCCCAAAGAAGUACUCAGUUGCUGCGUUAAGAGAAGAACUUGUAAAACAAAUGACAGGUUUAGAGAAGUUUGCCUCCCCCCCCCCCCCCUCCUACCUACAAGCCACCAACUAGGGCACCUAACCAGUUUGGGAUUGUGUACAUGCCAAUGAUGUCAGAUGUGAAGCAAAACUGUCAGGUUUGUUAUGCAAACACAGAAAGAAACUGAAGGUCAGGACCUUUUGACAAGCACCACAAUGUCAGGCAUACCUGCACCUCACCAGCACCCAGGACUGUUUCAAAGUAUGGCACAGUUAGUAUUUCCAUGAGUAAGAGUGUAUUGAGAUGUGUAGUUUGCUAGGACAAUGCCAUGUACAGAUCAUAUUUUAUUACCGUUGUCUUGUUUUUCAUAAUUUAUUUAGUGAAUAUUAGCAAUUAUAAGCAAGAGAUGCUAGGCAGAAUAACAAAAAGCUGCCUAUUAGUGUGUACAAGACACUAUUAAACCAUGAUAUAUUCUUCUUAUUUGAAAUAUUGUUGUUGGUUUUAGAAAAAAAAACAUUUUUAUUACAGUCCCCAAAAUAGAUAGUCCCCUAAAUUACAAUCCCCUAAAAAUUUAUAUAGUUUACAUAUGGUAAACCUUUGUACUGUAACUUUUACUUCUUGUGUAUUGGGCUUAAUUUUUUUUUAAUAUUUUAAAUAUUACAUAAGGUAACAUCAUAAUUAGAUUAUUAAUGUUACGAAGGACUUAAAGUAAAAGGACCUUAGAAUAUAGGAUUUAUAAGUGCAAUUUUGUGAAUAGGAAAUUCUAGUAAGUUCUAGUAUUGUAAAAAGUAGGACCUAGAUUGUUAGUUCUAGCAUAGUAGUAGAAGUCUUUGUAAAUAAGGCAUAUUUUUGUAGAUAUUUCUUGAAAGCACGCAGUCACGCCAUAUUGUUUUGACUAUUUCUAGGGUGUUCUAGAAAGUAGCGAGACAAAUACAAAUGAAAAGACAUUUAGUAGUUACUGGAACUUGCUCGAGUGAGCAAUAGCAAAAUCACAUAAAUUCGGGAAAGUUCUUAGUAAUUGGUUAAUUAGCUAUAUUUAGUAAACAGAAGAGUAUAAAAAGAGAAGCAAUAGUAUCGUAGGCAGUUGAAUUAAGUCGAAUAAAAAGUCAAAUACAUAGUCGAAAAGACAGUUGAAUAUAGUUAAACAGUCAAAUCGAAAAAUAACACAGAAGUAGAAUUGAAAAGUUAACAAGUUAUCGUCAAGAAGUGAACAUCGAAAGAGUUAUCCUCGUA